UUUUGGCCACCAUGGAUGAACAGAACAGUUCUCUGUAUUCCAUCUCUAAUUGAUUGGCAGCUACUUCUUGAUGGGCAUUCUGAGGCUGCCUCUAAACUCAGGAAGUGGAGAAAGCCACAGUUCAUUAGUGAUGUAUGCCAUGGGCUGAAGAGUGGGGACAGGACGAGCAUCAGAUAUUUGUCAUUUCUGACUUAAGUCAUCCCCAUGACAGGAACAUCCGUAUAUGUCUUUGCUUCUCUAAGUUCUAACUUUUUCAGAGAUUCAGCUCAAAUUGCACGUCUUUUGAAAUUAAAUGCUCAUGGAACCUCAGUUACAUUAAAUGGAAUAUAUUGGUUUGGAGUUUGUUAUUAUUUGUAAAACUCCAAGCAGCCAUUGAAGCCAAGAGUAAAUUAAUGGAACUGUAAUAACAGUAAGUCAGAGUGUAAUAUAGGAAAACAUUUCUGGAAAAUUACUGAACUACUAUUUUGAGUGAAGAAUUCAGAGAAUUUGCUGAUGAAUUGAAUAAAGAGUAAAGAAAACGAUAUAAUAUGUGCCAGGCACUUUCCCUUCAGUAUCUCAUGAUCCAAUUUAAGUAUGGGAUUUGCUUUUAAAAAAAAUCACUCUGCUGUGUUGAGAAUACAAUUAAGUAUUAGAAUUGCAAUAUAGUAGAAGCAAGACACCUUCCCAUCUCUCUGCCUUGAUUAGUAGAUCACUAUUCCAGGUAAGAAAAUGGUGUUUUAGCAUAGUUAACAGUACGGUUUAAGUGAAAUAGAUAAACAUAUGAUAUGUUUUGGACAUAUGAUAUGUUAAGAGGACUUGCUGAUGUAAUCUCAAUCGAAUGUCUAUCUGUGGCUUUUAACUCAGUCCUUUGGAACACACUAAUAUUUGAUAAGUCCAGACAGAUUCUACUUUGUUUUGAAACCUAAGUAGCAAUUUCUACAUAUACUAAAUCUCUUUAACUUGGGGGGACACUAGCCAGCUUUCACCUUUUAAAUGUAAUAUAAUAUGAAUACAGAUAAUGAUAUUUUAUGUAUUUUCUAUUUUGCUAUCAAUGAAUACAAUGAAAGCAAUAUCACAGUAGCUCACAAGAAAAUACACUACUACCUUCGGACUGAAAAAAAUUUAUUCUGAUUGUGAACCAAAUUUAUUUUACCAGUAGAUGCCAGUCUCAGCUCACAAAAUAAACUCGAGUAAUUGCGUAUUGGUAAAUUCCAUUAGAGGGAUUUCUGUUUUAAAAAUGUGGAAUAGCAGAGAUUUUAUGUAAAAAAAAAAAAAGGCAAUUGAUGAACUCUGAAGGCAGAACACAA